rnacentral:misc_RNA from 1 species
CGCACAUUGCGCCCAUUAGUAUUCUAGUGGGCAUGCCUGUUCGAGCGUCAUUAAGUCCAUCAAGCCCUGUUGCUUGCUGUUGGGAGCCUACCGGCGGAAGCCCGUAGCUCCUCAAAGUCAGUGGCGGAGUUAGCGUAUACUCUAGGCGUAGUAAUUAUCAAGCUCGCUUCUGUGGUUGCGCUGGCGCCGGCCGUAAAACCCCCAUCUUUCAAUGGUUUGACCUCGGAUCAGGUAGGAAUACCCGCUGAACUUAA